rnacentral:rRNA from 1 species
GACGAACGCUGGCGGCGUGCUUAACACAUGCAAGUCGAACGGAAAGGCCCUGCUUUUGUGGGGUGCUCGAUUGGCGAACGGGUGAGUAACACGUGAGUAACCUGCCCUUGACUUUGGGAUAACUUCAGGAAACUGGGGCUAAUACCGGAUAGGAGCUCCUGCUGCAUGGUGGGGGUUGGAAAGUUUCGGCGGUUGGGGAUGGACUCGCGGCUUAUCAGCUUGUUGGUGGGGUAGUGGCUUACCAAGGCUUUGACGGGUAGCCGGCCUGAGAGGGUGACCGGCCACAUUGGGACUGAGAUACGGACCAGAAUCCUACGGGAGGCAGCAGUGGGGAAUAUUGCACAAUGGGCGGAAGCCUGAUGCAGCAACGCCGCGUGCGGGAUGACGGCCUUCGGGUUGUAAACAGCUUUCGCCUGUGACGAAGAGUGAGUGACGGUAAUGGGUAAAGAAGCACCGGCUAACUACGUG